CAUCAGCCUCCAUUUUAUCAUCCUCUUCAAUUUCUUCUGCCUUGCACUUAGAGUUCAUUUGGAUCAUUAACUUCUGAAAAUGAAGUGAGAAACAGCUUAAACAUGUAACCAUGACACAAUGUCAACAGUGCUGAAAUUCACUGCUAGAAGAGCACAAAAGAACCAGGAUUUGAAGUGAGCUGGACACAAGAUGACAGAACUGUCCUGAACUGACUUUACCAUGUGACUGGAACUGAAUCUACUAACACAAGGUUUAAAACUUCUUUUUCCAAGUGAAGGAGAAAAGCAGCAAUGAAUGAAUUGGAUCCAGACUGAAGGAAACUAAUUACAUGCAUCUAAGAAGAAUGUGAGUGAAAGAAAACAAAACACAGAAGAACUGAAAGUAGGUCAAACUACACUAGGCAACCUCAAGAACAGCCAUAAAAAUAAGUAAUAAAAAAAGUUGUCAUGCCAGUCUCUUACUA